CCUCGCUAAACGAUGCACACCUGUAACUCACGUGACCCAUGGUUAUUAUUGAAACGAGAACGAGGGCGUCGUGCCUUUAUAAGACUGCGUUAAUGGUUCCGUGGAGUUAUCCCUUCCGUUGUUGUUCUUUGAUUGUUAAACAUGGCUUCAUUUGCAAAGGUGGUUGUGUGUGUCCUCAUUGCUUGUGUCUGUAAUGCAUUCGGUUUUCCGAAGAAAGAUGUGAACUUUAAGGCCUCUGCAGUUGACCGCCAAAGUGAUGAUGUGGUUGUCACCACAACACCCAAUCCCCACAACCAGACCACCUCUGCCCCUACUGAAGCUGGUGAUGGAGCAAGUGAAGAUGCUGUGGCUACCACCCCAACACCAAAUCCCCCAACUACAUCUGACCACACUGCAGCUACCGAUGAUGCAAGUGAGGGUGCUGUGGCUGCCCAAACUGGAACUACUGUAUCCCAUACGACUGAAGUCUGAUUCGACUGCUCCUCUGGUCACAAUGACCUGUCUGGACUUUUUGCCUCUACAUGUUCACUGCAAUAAAGGACAGAUUUGUAUUUUUUUUUUAAUCAAAUGUUGUCUUGCCUUUUUCAAAUUGAGGCCUUGUCCUGUUUUGGUAGUGGAGAUAACUGACGCCUCUUUCCUAACGCACUACAUUUCUGGCAACUUAUAAUGCAUAGUGAACAUGUAAUAAUUCGGUGGUAUGAUCCCAGGAGAACAUUUUUAAGAAACAAAUCACAGAAUUGUGGUUCCUCGCCGUUUUUUUUUUAAUAUAAAUCGAGGCUUUCCUCAUAAUACCGCAAGAACAA
rnacentral:lncRNA from 1 species